GACGAACGCUGGCGGCGUGCUUAACACAUGCAAGUCGAACGGACAGGCCUGCUUUCCCUUGUGGAUUGCGGGUACUCGCGUGGCGAACGGGUGAGUAACACGUGAGUGAUCUGCCCCCAACUUGGGUAUAAGCCUGGGAAACUGGGUCUAAUUACCGAUAGGACUGCAGGGUGGUGCCUGUGGUGGAAAACGAUUUUCUAGUGGUUGGGGAUGAGCUCGCGGCCUAUCAGCUUGUUGGUGGGGUAAUGGCCUACCAAGGCGGGGACGGGUAGCCGGCGUGAGGGGGUGGACGGCCACAUUGGGAAUGAGAUACGGCCCAGACUCCUACGGGAGGCAGCAGUGGGGAAUAUUGCACAAUGGGCGGAAGCCUGAUGCAGCGACGCCGCGUGGGGGAUGACGGCCUUCGGGUUGUAAACUCCUUUCGACCGCGAGGAAGCCACCUGGUUGGAAGGGUGGUGACGGUAGUGGUAGAAGAAGCACCGGCUAACUACGUG
rnacentral:rRNA from 1 species